ACGAAGGGUCUCGGCCCGAAACGUCAACAGUGCUUCUCCCUAAAGAUGCUGCCUGGCCUGCUGCAUUCCACCAGCAUUUUGUGUGUGUUGCUUAAAGUUACCAUUCACAUUGUUUUCCCCUCCACAGGUGCUGGCCAACCUGCUGAACAUUCACAGCAUUUUUUGUUUUUGUUUCAAAUUUCUAACACUAGAGGUGUAUUUUGAUCUUAAUUUUGUGUAUGUGAAGAGCUGUGACUUUCAGGGACCUAGCAGUGGGAAGAGCAAUUAGGCUGGUACUUUGUUUUUCCAAAAUAACAAGCACAAACACCAUGCAAAAGGCCUCCUUCUUUGCUAUAAAUGUUCUGAUUUAUAACUAUGAUACUUUUUUCAGCAAUUCACAUUGAAGGAGGGAGAGAUGGAUAGAUCAAUAGCUAGAUAAUGAAUUGCUGUGGUGGAUGAAAGAAAUUCCAUGUCGUUCCAAGUAACCUUACACCACUUGGGAGGAAUCCUGAACAACAACGAACUAAUGAUAUCAAACUAGCUCCAUCUUAGCAGGAUUGCCUGCGUCCUAAUUACAAAUAUAUCCCAUGAAUAAGGAAGAGAAAAUCGAUCCAAGGUCUGCAGGGUCUCAACCCGAAAUGUUGACGAUUCCUCUUGACCCAAUAAAUUCCGCCAUGCAGAAUCUGUUGCUCCAGAUUUGCAAUCUCCUGCUUCUCCACGGACAGAACGUUUUUUUAAGAUACAUUUUAACUCAAGUGGUCUAAAAGCUUCUGGAGACGGGGAUCCCAGAUACCCACAAUAAAUGCUGUAAAGCUGACUCUCUAGGAGGGCACUCUUGCUUAAAUGGAAGGAUGUCAUUCACGCUCAAUGGUUACGUGAUGUUAUGUCAUGCUUAAAUUUAGAGAAGAUCCGUUGUUCAAUUUCUGAAUCUAGUCAAGACUUUCAAACGUUGUGGGGACCAUUGUUGAACUAUUUUCAAAACCUUUGAUUUGCUCUUAAGGAGUGAAGUUUUCACAGCUUGGCAAUGAAGUUACUCCAAAGAGAUGUAACACCAUUCUAAAGUCCACUAUAUCCUGGCUGAGCUCACAACCAUGUCACCCGAGAAACCACAGCAGAUCUGCAUCUUCCACUGGUACUUGAACUUGAUGAAAUAUUGAUUCAAUAUCUGCCAUGAUCACCACUGGUUCUUUUCUGAAUCUGGUUAUGACUCCAAUCAGUGAGCUAGUAAGAUCUGGUCCCUCUAAAAGCCAAGCAUUAAGUGAUAUUCACUGAAAAGUCACUCCAUAGUCAAACACAACUCUGAGGUUCCCUUUUCUGGGGUGAUAAACAGCAUGAUGUGGAAUACACCAGACUUCCCCAUCACCACAUUCCAGAUCAUCUGCUGGCAUUCUUUCAGCAUAUCCUUUGAGAUGACAUCCUUCAUGAAAGCUGUGUAGUCAGUAUGAAAUGACAAAUCCCACUUAGACCUCUUCUUUAGAUUUAGAGCAUGCUGUUCUUCAAUCUUCCUGUUAUUGGGCACAUCAAUCUCUUCCUUUCUCAAAAGUAAGUUAAUCUGGCAGUGGACAUCCACCAGUUUUGCAGAAUCCAUAACCAGCUCCCUGAACUUGUGAUAUCCUCUUAAUGAAUCAGGUCGUUGUACCUGACUGCAUUUAGAGAAGUCUGCCUAGAGCUGGUGCUGCCAAACCUUGUCCAAAUUCAAAACCAAGAUCCUGUUAACUUUCAGCUCAGGCUGUGCACAGCCUCUUCCGGCACCAUGGUCUCCUUUCAGUGGCCCAUUCACAGUCCACCCAAUAUUGUUCUAAUUCCAUAGGGUCCAUCAUUAACACUAUGAAACACAUGCAAUGACUCCAACACUUCAGGCACAGUUACCCCAUCAGCAGCUGAAUUUCCAAAUUAACAUCUGGCAAAGUGAUAUGCUUCAGGUGAGAACAUCCCUGGAGAUCCUUCUGUCAUGGAAUGUUCCCUCUCUGGACUGGCAUAUUUUCCUGUGUAGAGAUGUUACAUAUUUCACAAUAGUUUUCACCACAUUGUGGAAGGUAAGACACAUGUUCACUGUUGUACCAACAUGACCUUCAAUAGUUCAACCAUUGUUUCCACAUUCACUAUGAUUGCACUCCUAUAGCCAUCAAUGCUUGUAAAAACAGCCAUUCUGCCUUUCAUGCUGAACCUUGGGAAGUAAUGAAAUUAACACGUGAUGUUGCUUAACAACAGCUUCACAAAGAUUAGUCAACUUCUCAAGACAAGAUUGCACUUGUAAGGCAUUUUCUCUAAUUUUCAUAAGAUUAUUAAUUGACAGCAUUAAUCAUUUGAUUUUGUUGACGUUUGUUUCAUGCUCCUUCCCAAGACCUUAAAUUAGAUUAGCCUUAGCUAUAGCUUUAAUUUCUCUUUUGUAGCCCUGACUCCAGAGUCGUUGGUGCCAAAUCCAUGCUUUGGUGCACUCAUGUUACUUUGUCUAGCUGCCCAACUCUUAAUUCAGUCUUUGUUCACUCUCAGCACUGGUGAUAUUCGAUUCAAUAAUUGUAGGCAACAAACAAGCUGAUUACACAUCCACAGUGCUUAAACAAGACCAAACAAACAGCAUUCAAUUCAAAUGUCAGCUGGGGAACUAUUUCAGCACUUCAACAAAACAAAGCAACGAACCCUUAAGUAAACACCAGAUGAUUAAGCAAUGGUUCCCAAUGGGCAGGCAGCACUGACCAUUCAAAACUGUGUUCAAACCACAAAUACACCACACAAAUCAAGAACGCUUGCUGAUAACGCAAGCUGCUGGAGGUUCCAACAUGUUGUUCUUAUGCUGCGAUUUCAAUUUUCCCAACAGGUCCAAAGCAAACCUUUGCCAUACCCAAACCUUUGGGUGUUUAUUUGGCUUUUUUUUAUUGACAAAAAUGUAGCAGUUACUUUAAAAAAAACAAAACGGCUGAGAGACUGAAGCCAGGGAGUCAACACUGUAUGACGUGCUUCCAAAUAAUGAAAUUCCAAAUUGAAAAAAGUACGUUCAAUCCUUUAUUACAAAACCAGCAAAGAGUAAAGAUCCUAUAACGAUAAAAAAACUAACAAAACUAAAUUAGUGAUAUAGUGAUCUUAGCAUUCAAAUUACUGUAAAUAAGCGGUUGAAUUAGCAAUAUAAUGAUUUUAAUCAUCUAAUUAGUGGACUUCAUGAUCUAAUUAGAGAUAUAACUAAGACAGGCAUGGGCAAACUACGGCCCGGGGGCCAUAUGCGGCCCGUUAAGCUUUUUAAUCCAGCCCGCAGAACUUGAUGAAAUUAUAUUAAUAAACCUUGUUAACGUUUUUUCCCCGCAAUUCUGGUGUUUUCCCAAUAGAUGACGCACUCUAUAUACAUUUGUGGUGACCCAUUUCCUGGCACAUCCGAACCGGCUCACAAUUAGCCAGCAUUCCGGCUAAGGGAGAUAGCCUGCGGGGAUUUGCGAGCACAGAGCUUUGGAGCCUCUGCGCAGGGAGGCAGGUUGAGGGAGGCUUAAAAGUGAGGCUGCAGAUUUCGAAUAAAGUUUUUUUCUUCGACUGCAGUUACCUACGUGUCGUAAUUUUAGCGCUGCAUGUAGCACACCGCUACACAUUGACCUUUGUUGAGGUGCAGCGUAUUACUCCACAUUUGCGCUUUAAUCUUUGUUCGGCUCAACCUAUUUGUGUGAACAGGCGUUCAGCGUCAUGAAAUUCAACAAAGCCAGCCACAGAUCCAAGUUAACUGACCAACACCUCAGAUCCAUCCUGAGAAUCGCCACAACAAAACUAAAUCCAGACUUUGAUGCGCUGGCUAAAAAGGGAGACCAACAACGCUGUUCCCACUGAAAUUAAAAAUAAGUUUCUUCAUUGUGUUAUGUAAAAAAUGCAUUUGAAAAUAUUUUUUUCAAUAAGCCUUACAUGUUACAUGUCAUUUCUGUUAAGUGAUGGACAUGAGUAGUGCGCAGGUGCACGUACGUUCUCAAAAUAAAAAAUGCACUCCAGAUCAAAUAACGCGCUCUGCAUACUGGCGCGCUCUCACUGUUCUGUCAUUGUGCGGGUCGUUGUUGAGUUUUGA